rnacentral:rRNA from 1 species
GAUGAACGCUGGCGGCGUGCCUAAUACAUGCAAGUCGAGCGAACAGACGAGGAGCUUACUCCUCUGACGUUAGCGGCGGACGGGUGAGUAACACGUGGAUAACCUACCUAUAAGACUGGGAUAACUUCGGGAAACCGGAGCUAAUACCGGAUAACAUGUUGAACCGCAUGGUUCAACAGUGAAAGACGGCCUUGCUGUCACUUAUAGAUGGAUCCGCGUCGCAUUAGCUAGUUGGUAAGGUAACGGCUUACCAAGGCAACGAUGCGUAGCCGACCUGAGAGGGUGAUCGGCCACACUGGAACUGAGACACGGUCCAGACUCCUACGGGAGGCAGCAGUAGGGAAUCUUCCGCAAUGGGCGAAAGCCUGACGGAGCAACGCCGCGUGAGUGAAGAAGGUCUUCGGAUCGUAAAACUCUGUUAUUAGGGAAGAACAAAUGUGUAAGUAACUAUGCACGUCUUGACGGUACCUAAUCAGAAAGCCACGGCUAACUACGUGCCAGCAGCCGCGGUAAUACGUAGGUGGCAAGCGUUAUCCGGAAUUAUUGGGCGUAAAGCGCGCGUAGGCGGUUUUUUAAGUCUGAUGUGAAAGCCCACGGCUCAACCGUGGAGGGUCAUUGGAAACUGGAAAACUUGAGUGCAGAAGAGGAAAGUGGAAUUCCAUGUGUAGCGGUGAAAUGCGCAGAGAUAUGGAGGAACACCAGUGGCGAAGGCGACUUUCUGGUCUGUAACUGACGCUGAUGUGCGAAAGCGUGGGGAUCAAACAGGAUUAGAUACCCUGGUAGUCCACGCCGUAAACGAUGAGUGCUAAGUGUUAGGGGGUUUCCGCCCCUUAGUGCUGCAGCUAACGCAUUAAGCACUCCGCCUGGGGAGUACGACCGCAAGGUUGAAACUCAAAGGAAUUGACGGGGACCCGCACAAGCGGUGGAGCAUGUGGUUUAAUUCGAAGCAACGCGAAGAACCUUACCAAAUCUUGACAUCCUCUGACCCCUCUAGAGAUAGAGUUUUCCCCUUCGGGGGACAGAGUGACAGGUGGUGCAUGGUUGUCGUCAGCUCGUGUCGUGAGAUGUUGGGUUAAGUCCCGCAACGAGCGCAACCCUUAAGCUUAGUUGCCAUCAUUAAGUUGGGCACUCUAAGUUGACUGCCGGUGACAAACCGGAGGAAGGUGGGGAUGACGUCAAAUCAUCAUGCCCCUUAUGAUUUGGGCUACACACGUGCUACAAUGGACAAUACAAAGGGUAGCGAAACCGCGAGGUCAAGCAAAUCCCAUAAAGUUGUUCUCAGUUCGGAUUGUAGUCUGCAACUCGACUACAUGAAGCUGGAAUCGCUAGUAAUCGUAGAUCAGCAUGCUACGGUGAAUACGUUCCCGGGUCU